rnacentral:rRNA from 1 species
GGCCUACGGGAGGCAGCAGUGGGGAAUAUUGGGCAAUGGGCGCAAGCCUGACCCAGCAACGCCGCGUGAAGGAAGAAGGCUUUCGGGUUGUAAACUUCUUUUCUCAGGGACGAAGCAAGUGACGGUACCUGAGGAAUAAGCCACGGCUAACUACGUGCCAGCAGCCGCGGUAAUACGUAGGGAGCGAGCGUUGUCCGGAUUUACUGGGUGUAAAGGGUGCGCAGGCGGCUCUGCAAGUCAGGCGUGAAAGCUAGGGGCUCAACCCCUAAACUGCGCUUGAAACUGUGGAGCUUGAGUGAAGUAGG